rnacentral:rRNA from 1 species
AACGAACGCUGGCGGCAUGCCUAACACAUGCAAGUCGAACGAGACCUUCGGGUCUAGUGGCGCAUGGGUGCGUAACGCGUGGGAACCUGCCCUUAGGUUCGGAAUAACUCCCCGAAAGGGGUGCUAAUACCGGAUAAUGUCUUCGGACCAAAGAUUUAUCGCCCUUGGAUGGGCCCGCGUUGGAUUAGCUUGUUGGUAGGGUAAAAGCCUACCAAGGCGACGAUCGAUAGCUGGUCUGAGAGGAUGAUCAGCCACACUGAGACUGAGACGCGGCCCAGACUACUACGGGAGGCAGCAGUGGGGAAUAUUGGACAAUGGGCGAAAGCAUGAUCCAGCAAUGCCGGGUGAGUGAUGAAGGCCUUAGAGUUGUAAAGCUCUUUUACCCGGGAUGAUAAUGACAGUACCGGGAGAAUAAGCACCGGCUAACUCCGUG